rnacentral:rRNA from 1 species
UGGGGAAUAUUGCACAAUGGGGGAAACCCUGAUGCAGCGACGCCGCGUGAGUGAAGAAGUAUUUCGGUAUGUAAAGCUCUAUCAGCAGGGAAGAUAAUGACGGUACCUGACUAAGAAGCCCCGGCUAACUACGUGCCAGCAGCCGCGGUAAUACGUAGGGGGCAAGCGUUAUCCGGAUUUACUGGGUGUAAAGGGUGCGUAGGUGGUAUGGUAAGUCAGAAGUGAAAACCCGGGGCUCAACUCCGAGGAUUGCUUUUGAAACUAUCAGACUGGAGUACCGGAGAGGUAAGCGGAAUUCCUAGUGUAGCGGUGAAAUGCGUAGAUAUUAGGAGGAACACCAGUGGCGAAGGCGGCUUACUGGACGGUAACUGACACUGAGGCACGAAAGCGUGGGGAGCAAACAGGAUUAGAUACCCUGGUAGU